CUUGCAUUCCCCAUUUGUGCUCCUGUAGUUUUACCUGCAGUUGCCUCUUCAAGGGUCAUAGUUUGGAUCUGUUUGCCACAUGCUCAGGAUAUUGCCCUAUUUGGGUUUUUUUUUUGUGCAGUUUGCUACCUGUGCAUUAGGACCUAGUUGCAGUGCACAGGGCAUUUCGGUCGGAACAGCUAAUGCAGAGGGUGGUUCUGAACGGGUUUCCUCUUUUGAGGGUCCCUCAUUAGGAAAGAAGCAGACUUCCAUGCCAGGGAAGGAAAAGCUCCUUACUUUCAUCAGAGGACAUGAAAGUUUGAGUUUGCCCAAUGUCUUUAGCAGCACAGGUGAUACCUCUGGCAAAACUUAUGAGAGAAAUGAAGACAGUUGCACUCAAUUAGGGACCACCCGCUCCCAUCCAGCCACAGAGAGGGGUAGUCAUCAUGCCAAACACACUCUUUGGACUAACCUGGGAGGGGAUGGCUGAAUGAAAGAUGAAGAACAGUGUUAUUGAGGGCCUGAGUGAGAGGCCUGUGGGUUGAAGCUCUGUGGCCAAGCCAUAUUUGAACCCUUACAAUUUUUGUCUAGCUCUCUAACUGCCAAUAUGUAAGCUGCUCAAAGGCCGUCUGGUGAUAAAGGCAUCCCUUGGUGUACUAUGUACUUUCUCUGCCUAUUUUCCAUAUUAAUGUAAUAUUUUUCCAUGCCCCAGUCACAUAUCUUUAUUUGACAAACAAAUUACUCUAAUAAAAAGCUGGCAGAGCAGUUCACAGUGAGUUUCCUAAUGACUGUGUGAGUGCGCCAGAGCUGUUGGCAGAUGAGCUGCCAGAAUAACAAGGUCUCCUAACACCCCACAAAACUGCCAAAUGUACCUUGUAAUUAAGCAUCACUCAGUUCUGAGGCAGCCCUCAGUUACUGAGUUCAGCCAACUAUAGUAUCUUUAAAGCAAGAUAGAACCAGUGGCGUUUGAUGGGAGAGUGACUGAAUUGCUCACAGUUUAAUGACACCUCUACCUCCACAAUGAAGGUUCCCGGUUUCUAUGUAAAUUGACAUGAUAGAGUUGUGGAGUUUAAUGUUACUGAGCAGUUUCAGUGUAUUUCAACCCUGUGUAUACUCUUUAAGGCACAAAUGGCUAAAGACUACUAGCAAGAAUCAUGGAUAUUUGAUGUUUGAGAGAGAAGGCUAACCAUUGGGAAAUGGAAACUUUGAAGAGCCCUGUGAAAUCACAAUUUCUACCCUCCAACUGAUCCAGGAAACUGUGACACACUGUGGAGCAGAUUUUUGACAACCUGAGGCAUAGGAUCUGAGGAAAAUAUGCUUUAGGAGUGGACUGUGCAGUGUUUCAAGCGGGAGUGCCUGCGUAGAUACAGUUCAAAGACACUGGUAUGGAACUGGAGCGUAUGCAUGCCACAGUAAUCCUGCUUCAUACAUAGGGGAAUUCUGUCUUGAACCACCCUAACGGGGGAAAAAUCUGCUGAGUCCAUUUCUUCAAGUUUUUUACCUACAGCAGGGGCAGGGGCAAAAGGCAAGUGUGAUGCAGUCUCUCCCUUCUGCUGGGGCACCAGUGGUAUCGGAGCAGUGAUGGUGUCUUCCUGAAAUUCUUGUGUUUGCCACACCCAAAACAGGUAUCAAAACUAUUCAGGAUGAGAGUCUGAAAUGAGAACAUGGGCUGUUGAAAUGCACGGCAAGGAAAAACCCGGGAGACAAACAUGACAGAGGACUUUACCGUCUGAACCUCUUGUACCCGUAGAAGAGUCAUUUCAUGGCGGUGGAGGCUUGUUCCUGAGUCUUGGGGAGAUCCUUAACAGCUGGAUUGCAGGAAAACAGUUAAAUGGCAAAACUUAUGUACAGAAUGAGCUUAAAUAUUUCUUAAAGAAAAGACUGACUGACUUGAACAUCUCUUGGGAAGCAAACUGAGGAAAAACAAUGAUGGAGUGCCUGAUCUGUAGAGCUGAGAAUUUUUUCUGUCUUUAUCCAGAAAAUUCAGGUCCAGUUUGCUCAACUGUUUGGCAUGUUAUUGGGAAAUUGAGAGAUAAAUCUAUGCUUUUGACAUAUAUCAAGCAUAUGUAACCAUGAUAUCCCAUCUGGCUCUCUGCUGUUAAAUUAGAGAUUUCUUAGAAGAAAAAAGGCAACCUAAUGUGAACCCACAGUCCAAUAAGCACUCGCAUCCAAGUAAUUGGAUCAACUGUCCUGUAAUCCAAUAAUAUUAGCCAGGCUGGUUUUCAACUUAAAGAAGUGAGAUAAAUAAAAUAUAACCCACUUUUUUUUCCUCCCAAAAUAGACCAUCUCAGCUUAGAGCAAUCAGCGUAGAACACUAUCUAGAGGACAAUUUGUUUCAAAGCAAAGGAAGAGGUUUUGGAAGAGGUCACACAAGUCCACAAGGACAAUUGUUGCAGGUUUACACCAAUGCAUCACUGACUUCUUCUUUCGUUUUUAAUUGAUGUGGAAAAUCUGAAAUGUCAUCAAACAUUGUGUGACUAUGGGACACCAGGAUAAAGCAGCAGGCUUGUGCCACCUGUGGGAAGGGAACAUUCCUGAUGGUGUCAACAGGCUCCACCUUACACUAUCCAAGUUCAUCUUCUCCCGGCUGCUCAGUUUUCAACUGAACCGGGAGAUUCUUUCAGGAUUGAGAGCCUUGCUUCUGGGCUAGAUGCAAACUGGUACACCAUUAUCAGAUGCCAGUUUAUAUCAGGAUCUUUGUGAAGAACCAGUAGUUCAGGACAGAGCUGCUCCAGUUAGGCCAUCUACUGAGGUGAGAUGAACUUCCACAGAAGAAAAUCUUGAGGGCUUUCUACAUAUCAUCUCUGCACUGUUUCCACUGUCCCUCAUGGAAGCAUGUGAAAUCCUCUGUGUUCUCUAAAAUGCUACCUAGAAGAGGAGCUUUCCAUUGCUAAAGCACAUUGCAGCUGCCUUAGUUGUGGGAACUAGAAACACCCAUCUUUUAUUUAACCAAUUAAUAAUCUUCAGAAGCACUGGUUCCUUUUGAAAUAGUGGCAGAACUUUGGGCAGUGGCUUUACACAGAUCAUCAGCAGUCCAGAUUUAGCCUGAGCAGAAGAAAUUCAACACACAGAAAGCCUGACUAAAAGGACUGGAGCAUAGAUUAAAUAUUCAGAAUGGCCUGCUGACUUUAAGAAACACAGCAGUAGUCACCUGUGCUGCUUCUGUGGAUUCCAAAGCCUGAAUUGUUUAAUAUGGUUUGAUGUUUUAAUAUGUUUGACCAGGGCUUAAAAAUUAUUUGAUGCCUACAGCAAAACGUUGUAAGAGUCUCCUGUUAUCACUGAGCUGGAAAGAGUUAAUACUGCCAGAAAUGUGAAAAUUAGCAAGAAAAAAGGUAAGAAUAUGGCAAAUAUAUUGUUCAGCUGUUACAAAUGUCCACAUUCUCAGUCUGACACUCAUUUACAGGUAACAAACUCAGGUAUCUUUGUUACUGUUGCUGAGGUAAAGUUUUCAUAAAAUUAUCUGUAGUAAUUACAUCCUUAAUAUUAAUUUUAGGACUAUAUACUGUGUAUGUCUUGUAGUCUGCUCCCACCAUGAACAUUAUGAUGUGUGAACUUUUCACACCACCUGAUAUCUAAGUCAGAAUAAAAACAGGCCCUGAAGCACCCAAGCCAGUUCUUCAGAUCUGAAAUAGAAACUACCUUCAAAGGUAAGCAGAGGCUGAAGAAUAACACUGAGCUUUUGAUAUCAGUUUAUCCCCCAAUGUUUCUAAGAUUCACAGGUAUUAAAAGAUUCUCCAGGGCACUUCAGUCAUCUUUUUUUGCUUGCACUAAGCCAUUUUGUGUUACAGGAGUACUUAGGUCAUAAUUUACCUCCUUGUCCAGAUCAGCUGCAGCAGGUAUGCAGCUGCAGCAGGUAUGCUGAAGAGCAUAAAGCCACAUGUGACUGCACGUUAACCUCCCUGCAUUACCAAAAACUACUUAUUUUCAAUAUCUUUCCCCUGGUUUAGCCAGUUACAACUAAUCCACAGGGGAUAGGAUGCUUCCUAUUUCACGGCACUUCAUUAUUCAAAGCAUUGUUCACAGGGAAUCUUGAUACAGGCUUUUUUGAAGUCUACGUACAGUUUGGCUCCGUCCAUCAGGCUGCUUUUCCUAUAUGGUGAUUCCCUUAAAAUGGGCUGUACAAGGUAGAUCAGGAAAUCACAAAACAGCCUGUACUAUGAGUCUAUAGGUGUAGGUGGGAUUUCUUUUUUUAUUAUUUUUGCAUAAAACUAAUUGGAAAAAAAAUGACUCUCAUAUCCUUAAUAUGAUUCCACUGGCAGGAAUCAAAGUAGUAAAUAGUAAAACACAGACUGAAAUUGGACCCAGAAGACAAACGAACCAGUGCGACACCAUUUAAGUGUCUUCAGCUUCUCAUGGAAAAAAAACCAAAAAGCAACACAAGCAUCAGUACUUACACUCUUGAUGCCUAGUCCUCGUAAAGUUAUGUGUGUCUGUCUCCAGCCAUGGCCACCGUUUCUUCCCCAAACAGCUGGUCCGUGAGCACCGUUUUUCCUUACAAAGACUUGGAGGGCACCAGAAUGCAGUCCAGGCACCUUAUGCCUGAAGGACAGGCACAAGUCUCUGGUGUGAGCCAUGUGAUCCAAGGGGAGGAUAAGAUGUGCCGCUCUUCCUUCUUUGCCUUUGGGAUCAGAGAUGGAGGAAGGAGCUCUGCUCUCCAAGUCACUCACAAGACUUUAAGUGUCAUAAGGAGCACCCAAAAUACUGGAGGAUGCCUGUGUGUUGGGAGGGGACCUGGCCAGCAAGUGAAGACACCACUUCCCCUUAGCGAGCUAAACAGCCUGGAAAAGGUGCCAGGUCGCCUGCUGCGGUGGCAAAUGACUGUCUCAUCAAUGGCAGCAUAAGGACAGACAUCUCUGACGAGGCGGUGUGUAAGGAAAAUGGCUCUCGGUGCCCUCACCCUCCCUCAUCCUAACCUAUAAUAUUUUACGCCCUGAGAGCGUGGUUCCUUCCUCAGUCUGCCAUCCCUUCACAUAAUGUGAGCAUUGUGCACUUCAAAGGCUGCUCUCCUGGGUAUGAAGUAAUCCCAUCAUUACGGGGAGCCAGGGAUGUGUGUCUAAUCCCCGCACCGCACUGUGGGGCAAGCACCGCUGGGGGGAAGGGUACGCAGGCAAGGACAGCCAACCUCUCAGUGCCAUACAGUAAAAUCAGCGGGGGACAGGAUACAUGCAAGCUUCCAGCAGUGUGGAUGUGCACUUCUCCUGGGGCAGCAGAGGUGUGUGAGGGGAAGGGUUGUUGCUUCAGCUGACCAGCAGUGCCGAUGCCAGUUCUCUCCUAUUCUGCAAGCCGCUAGUACACGCUCCCCUGUAAUGUUCUUUGUAAGGUCAUUUUCUGCCAUCUCAAACAAUCCCAUUUUCAGAAGCCUCUGCAUAUGAGCAUUUAACUUCUCUGCCUUCCAGUUAAUUAACAUUUUUUCUACGUACAGGUUGCUGUUAGCUUGGAGUAGAAUUCAAUAAAAUCAAACUGAGAGGUUAAUCUAGAACAUCAUAUUUGGCAGCAGAACAAAGACUGUUUCUAGCACUUUCUGUAAUUUUGCUAGUGAUAGAGAAAUAAUUAUGUUUACAUGGCAGUUUGAAAA